CCGGUCAGAACGCCGAGUCCUGUCCCUGGCCCGCCGGGAAACGACAACCACCAAGGGCAGGAGCGGGGGACCCAGGUAAGCGCCGUACCACUGCGCAGCAGUGACACGGCUUGGGGUGAAGCCGCGCAUACGCGGCCGGGCAACUCCAGCCCGAACCCGACAGCUCACCUCGCAGGCGUGGGAGAGGAACA
rnacentral:sRNA from 2 species